GAUGAACGCUGGCGGCGUGCCUAAUACAUGCAAGUCGAGCGAACGGACGAGAAGCUUGCUUCUCUGAUGUUAGCGGCGGACGGGUGAGUAACACGUGGAUAACCUACCUAUAAGACUGGGAUAACUUCGGGAAACCGGAGCUAAUACCGGAUAAUAUUUUGAACCGCAUGGUUCAAAAGUGAAAGACGGUCUUGCUGUCACUUAUAGAUGGAUCCGCGCUGCAUUAGCUAGUUGGUAAGGUAACGGCUUACCAAGGCAACGAUGCAUAGCCGACCUGAGAGGGUGAUCGGCCACACUGGAACUGAGACACGGUCCAGACUCCUACGGGAGGCAGCAGUAGGGAAUCUUCCGCAAUGGGCGAAAGCCUGACGGAGCAACGCCGCGUGAGUGAUGAAGGUCUUCGGAUCGUAAAACUCUGUUAUUAGGGAAGAACAUAUGUGUAAGUAACUGUGCACAUCUUGACGGUACCUAAUCAGAAAGCCACGGCUAACUACGUGCCAGCAGCCGCGGUAAUACGUAGGUGGCAAGCGUUAUCCGGAAUUAUUGGGCGUAAAGCGCGCGUAGCGGUUUUUUAAGUCUGAUGUGAAAGCCCACGGCUCUUUCGUGGAGGGUCAUUGGAAACUGGAAAACUUGAGUGCAGAAGAGGAAAGUGGAAUUCCAUGUGUAGCGACGAAAUGCGCAGAGAUAUGGAGGAACACCAGUGGCGAAGGCGACUUUCUGGUCUGUAACUGACGCUGAUGUGCGAAAGCGUGGGGAUCAAACAGGAUUAGAUACCCUGGUAGUCCACGCCGUAAACGAUGAGUGCUAAGUGUUAGGGGGUUUCCGCCCCUUAGUGCUGCAGCUAACGCAUUAAGCACUCCGCCUGGGGAGUACGACCGCAAGGUUGAAACUCAAAGGAAUUGACGGGGACCCGCACAAGCGGUGGAGCAUGUGGUUUAAUUCGAAGCAACGCGAAGAACCUUACCAAAUCUUGACAUCCUUUGACAACUCUAGAGAUAGAGCCUUCCCCUUCGGGGGGGCAAAGUGACAGGUGGUGCAUGGUUGUCGUCAGCUCGUGUCGUGAGAUGUUGGGUUAAGUCCCGCAACGAGCGCAACCCUUAAGCUUAGUUGCCAUCAUUAAGUUGGGCACUCUAAGUUGACUGCCGGUGACAAACCGGAGGAAGGUGGGGAUGACGUCAAAUCAUCAUGCCCCUUAUGAUUUGGGCUACACACGUGCUACAAUGGACAAUACAAAGGGCAGCGAAACCGCGAGGUCAAGCAAAUCCCAUAAAGUUGUUCUCAGUUCGGAUUGUAGUCUGCAACUCGACUACAUGAAGCUGGAAUCGCUAGUAAUCGUAGAUCAGCAUGCUACGGUGAAUACGUUCCCGGGUCU
rnacentral:rRNA from 1 species